AUUGAACGCUGGCGGCAGGCCUAACACAUGCACGUCGGGCUAGCGGCGGAAGGGUGAGUAAUGUAUGGGGAUCUGCCUGAUGGAGGGGGAUAACUACUGGAAACGGUAGCUAAUACCGCAUACCAUCAGAUGAACCCAUAUGGGAUUAGCUUGUAGGUAAGGUAACGGCUUACCUAGGCGACGAUCCCUAGCUGGUCUGAGAGGAUGAUCAGCAACACUGGGACUGAGACACGGUCCAGACUCCUACGGGAGGCAGCAGGGGGGAAUAUUGCACAAUGGGCGCAAGCCUGAUGCAGCCAGGCCGCGUGUAUGAAGAAGGCCUUCGGGUUGUAAAGUACUUUCAGUCGGGAGGCGUUACCGACAGAAGAAGCACCGGCUAACUCCGUGCCAGCAGCCGCGGUAAUAC
rnacentral:rRNA from 1 species